rnacentral:rRNA from 1 species
AGCUAGUUGGUGGGGUAAAGGCCUACCAAGGCGACGACGGGUAGCUGGUCUGAGAGGGUGACCAGCCACACUGGGACUGAGACACGGCCCAGACUCCUACGGGAGGCAGCAGUGGGGAAUAUUGCACAAUGGGCGAAAGCCUGAUCCAGCGAUGCCGCGUGUGUGAUGAAGGCCUUCGGGUUGUAAACCUCUUUCACCAUCGACGAAUCCUUGACUCUUUUUGUGGUGGUGACGGUAGGUGGAGAAUAAGCACCGGCUAACUACGUGCCAGCAGCCGCGGUAAUACGUAGGGUGCAAGCGUUGUCCGGAAUUACUGGGCGUAAAGCGCUCGUAGGUGGUUUGUCGCGUUGAUCGUGAAAUUCCCGGGCUUAACUGGGAACGUGCGGGCGAUACGGGCAGGCUAGAGUACUGCAGGGGAGACUAGAAUUCCUGGUGUAGCAGUGAAAUGCGCAGAGAUCAGGAGGAAUACCGGUGGCGAAGGCAGGUCUCUGGGCAGUAACUGACGCUGAUGAGCGAAAGCGUGGGGAGCGAACAGGAUUAGAUACCCUGGUAGUCCACGCCCUAAACGAUGGGUACUAGUUGUGGGUUUCCUUCCUUGGGAUCCGUGCCGUAGCUAACGCGUGAAGUACCCCGCCUGGGGAGUACAGUCGCCAGGCUAAAACUCAAAGGAAUUGACGGGGACCCACCCAAGCGGCGUAGCAUGUGGAUUAAUUCGAUGCAACGCGAA